AUCUGAGACAUAGAUGACUACAUACAUUUGUCGCCUUCACUUUGCCAAUUCCCCCUUUUAUUUAAUUCUGUGGAGACCUGGCACAUUGCCCUUGGAACCCGGCCACUCCUUAAAAUACUGCCAAUUGGGGAUUGGAUGAGAAAGAUUAUGAGAUGUUUGCUCGAGAUAGUGCGGCUCGGUUGAAGGCAUAUUACAACAUCACCAGCAAAUAAUGAGAUUAAAAAAAAAAAAGCAUUUAUGUGGGGGGUUUGUUUAAGACCAAGUUGACCCCUCCCCACGUUGCUUUAGCACGGUGAUGGCUCUCCCUGUGGGUUAGGGUUGCCGCAGGUCUAUUUCCAGCGCUCUGCCGCUCCGCCGGUAGGAGCUGACUCCAUGCAGCCAGCAGCUGCCCCCGUGCGUCAGGAAUGUCCCGUAGCUCACCAUGGAGAAUCAGGACUUAAUUCGUUUACUCUGGCUCCUCCGGGCCUCUCCCUGCCAACACAGCUGCAGUACAGCUCCUCCAUCUAGAAACCUGGCAGCCGUCCCAGCUGGAUGCCACCUGCCAACACUUUCCUGAAGCCCAGCCAGAGGAGGAGAGAACAGGAGGACGGGGGGCUGAGGAGGGAGGGAAGAGAAAAUGCAAAUCGAAUUUCAUUGGCCUGUAGCCCCCUUAGAUCUCCAUGCUCCCAGAGGUGGUGACACACUUGUAUUCAGCGGCCAUCACCGGUCUUGCUCGUAAAAGUCCGAUUUCGAUGUGGGCACGCUUUCCUGAGUGCCGCGAGUCUCUGGAAUUACCCUAAACUUCCUCUUUGCUUUGCAGUGAUGGAGAAGUAGGAACACCCCACUGACAGGAAUGGUAGCCUCCCAUGCAGAAGCGGGAGUGUGCUCAGCCUCAUGCGAUGUGUCCGUAUUUCAUCCUCCAUAGUGAAAAAGGCAAACAGCCAUCAUCUUUCUGGGGCUGUGUGUGCAGGAACUACAUGGAUGAAAACGAGCUGUGUAGGGAUUCAAUGCACUCUACCUGCAAAAUGACAACAGUUGUGGCUUUUCUAUCCUUUUGGGUCCAAACAAGGAGCAGAAUGUUAACUAAUUUCGUUUUCCCAGUUGGGAUACCACAACCUUAGCAUGUGGAUUUAUCUUGAAACCAGGAAGCCCUGACAUACAUCGCUGCCCAAACAAGAGGAAUCCCAGCGUUCUAUCCUAUAAUGAACAGGAAAAAAGCGUAUAUCCAGAAGAUAUCUAUCCUGAUGAUUGCAAAGUGCUUAAGCCUAGGCUCUGAGAAAAAGCACCAACUGCCUUCAAGUUCUUCUGGGUAUUCUGUUCUAUGUUUUCUUCACAUCUCCUUUGACUGAAAAUUUCCAGUGCAUCUGUGUUUAUGGACUGAAUGUUUAUGUCCCCCCCCCAGCCCAAAUUUGUAUGUCGAAGCCCUAGCCCCAACAUAACUGUAUUUGGAAAUAGGGUAGGACCCUGAUCCAGUAGGAUUCGUGUCCUUAUAAGAAGAGGCACCAUCAGAGCACUCUCCUGUCCCUCUCUCCCUGUCUCCCUCUCCCUUUCCCUAGCACAGGCAAGAAAAGAUCACGUGAACACAAAGCAAGAUGGCAGCCACCUACAAGCCAAGAGAAGAGGCCGCAGAAUGAAACCUAUUUUGCCAACACCUUGAUCUGGGACUUCCAGCCUCUAGAACUGUGAGAAAAUAAGUUUCUGUUGUUUAAGCCAUCCAGUUUAUGACAAUUUCUUAUGGUAGCCCAAACAGAUUAAGACACCCCCCCCUCCCCCAGCAAUGUUUUCCCAGAAACAUGGCAACAAUUGCUGGUGCCCCUCCCCCCCUUAAGGACUGCUUGGUGUCCCCACACAUGGGUACGACUGGAGAGAUCUUGGCUCUCUAAGGGGCCCACACCACCACAGCUUGAGGAGGAUGCAACACAGCCCAAGGCCCCAGAGGAUGACUGAGGACCAGAUACUAAGGGAAGCUUUUUUUCAGCCAUCAACCCCUAGAGGAAUAUGUGUGUGUGAGUGUGUAUGUGUAUGUGUGUGUGCGUGUAUGUCUGUUGAGGGGUAACUUUUUCAAAGGGUCCAUACUAGAAAUGUCCUCGAGUUCAGGGCUGCGUGGGACUUGUUCUCCACCCUGAAGUAUGCAACCAGAGUGUGAAUGUUGGCCUUAGACGAUACCAGCUCAGUGAGGGCUGUAUCUGGGGAAGCUGUUCGAUUUCAUGGAAAGAGCAUUGGCUCUAGAGUCAGACAAAGCUGGGUUCCAAUUCAAGCUUUUUAGGGCAUGCAUCAAAAUAGUAUAAGCAAAGGCUGUAUUGGCUCAUGUCACUGAAAAAUCCAAGGAGUUGUUAUGCUUUCAGGCACAGCAACAUCAAGGCCCUCAAAAGAUGUUAUUGGAAAUCUGUGUUCUAUCUUUCCAUGCUAUUUCUCCAAUGGCUUCACUCUGGGGUCUUCCUCAGUAGCUAUAGACUCAUGUGAUCCUUAGUACUCAGGAUGGGUGGAGGAAGGAGAGAGUCUCUUUCCAAGGGGUACAACAAAGACUUGGUGACAUUGCUGAUUGGCCAAUUCUAAAUCACAUAUUCACCCCUGGGUGGGAUGGGGCAGGUGGGGACUCCCAAUUAAACCUGGAAGAGAUGAUACUGUUACUUAAGGAGGAAGUGAUGCAAGUCAGGCCAAAUCAACAGAUGUCUACAUAGACAUUAAAGGACUGUGUGAUUCUAAGCAAGUUGUUUAACCUCUUUGAUCCUCAAGUUCCCCUUUUAUAGAAUGGUUAUAUGAGUACCUGCCACCAAGGAAGCUACACAAAGCUCAAGGCACAGAAUGGAGGUGUAAUAACUGUUAACUUUCUUCUUGCUUCCUUUUCCUGUUCCUGGCCUUCUCCUGGAGGCCGGGGAAUGUACCAGGUUUGCCUUGACUGGUAUUGAAGAUGUCAUGCUGUUUCAGGUUGGGGAUCCUUGAGCAGUAUGAAGACUUCAGAAUACACUCAAUGGAGUUCCCGUGCCAGGGGUCUGUUGCAUUUGGCAAUGGUGGCCUCCAGGGCACAUUGGACUCUGAGUUGGGCUCUUCUCUGGUUGGGCUCAGCCCUGGGACAUCCGGAAAGGCUGGCGGAGGCCUUGCAAAGGGCAAGUGACGUCUGCAGUUGUCUGGAAAGGAGAGCUUACAACUGCAGCAGGUACCUCGUCAUCAGUUUCUGGAACUCAAAAUAAAAUCCCUCAGUAUAUAGCGCUCCCCCA
rnacentral:lncRNA from 1 species